rnacentral:rRNA from 1 species
CGCCCCGAAGGGGAGCGGCAGACGGGUGAGUAACGCGUGGGAAUCUACCUUUUGCUACGGAAUAACUCAGGGAAACUUGUGCUAAUACCGUAUGUGCCCUUCGGGGGAAAGAUUUAUCGGCAAAGGAUGAGCCCGCGUUGGAUUAGCUAGUUGGUGGGGUAAAGGCCCACCAAGGCGACGAUCCAUAGCUGGUCUGAGAGGAUGAUCAGCCACACUGGGACUGAGACACGGCCCAGACUCCUACGGGAGGCAGCAGUGGGGAAUAUUGGACAAUGGGCGCAAGCCUGAUCCAGCCAUGCCGCGUGAGUGAUGAAGGCCCUAGGGUUGUAAAGCUCUUUCACCGGUGAAGAUAAUGACGGUAACCGGAGAAGAAGCCCCGGCUAACUUCGUGCCAGCAGCCGCGGUAAUACGAAGGGGGCUAGCGUUGUUCGGAUUUACUGAGCGUAAAGCGCACGUAGGCGGACUUUUAAGUCAGGGGUGAAAUCCCAGAGCUCAACUCUGGAACUGCCUUUGAUACUGGAAGUCUUGAGUAUGGUAGAGGUGAGUGGAAUUCUGAGUGUAGAGGUGACAUUCGUAGAUAUUCGGAGGAACACCAGUGGCGAAGGCGGCUCACUGGACCAUUACUGACGCUGAGGUGCGAA